rnacentral:rRNA from 1 species
UACGUAGGUGGCAAGCGUUAUCCGGAUUUAUUGGGCGUAAAGGGAACGCAGGCGGUCUUUUAAGUCUGAUGUGAAAGCCUUCGGCUUAACCGGAGUAGUGCAUUGGAAACUGGGAGACUUGAGUGCAGAAGAGGAGAGUGGAACUCCAUGUGUAGCGGUGAAAUGCGUAGAUAUAUGGAAGAACACCAGUGGCGAAAGCGGCUCUCUGGUCUGUAGCUGACGCUGAGGUUCGAAAGCGUGGGUAGCAAACAGG